rnacentral:lncRNA from 1 species
AAAUACCCUUCACAGCAACAGUACAGAAGACAUCACCACUGCAGACUUCCCCCACACAGCCACGAGCCUUGUAACCACAUCAGUUCAAGAGGACAUUUACAAGCCUGAAGCAUAAAGGUCAAUCUGAUGAUCCUCAGUCCUCAACAAGAAAGAACUGACCACGUGAUGGAAUACGGAGUACUGUAUGGCUGCGAUGACCACCAGUAAUGCAGAGCAUGACAAUCAGCCAUGACCAGCCUAGAGCAGCACUCAAGUGACUGAGUUAAGAAGUUUCUAGGUUUGAGUUUGCAACAUAUCCUAGAACUCAACAGCAUCAUCUAGCAGCAGGCUGCAUGUGCUGGCAAGGCUGUAUAUAGAUGCAGUCAAUGUAACAUACAUGGUUUGACUCAAGGACUUAAAUACAAC